rnacentral:rRNA from 1 species
UGAGGAAUAUUGGACAAUGGAGGAAACUCUGAUCCAGCAAUUCUGUGUGUGUGAAGAAGGUUUUAGGACUGUAAAACACUUUUAGUAGGGAAGAAAAAAAUGACGGUACCUACAGAAGAAGCAACGGCUAAAUACGUGCCAGCAGCCGCGGUAAUACGUAUGUUGCGAGCGUUAUCCGGAAUUAUUGGGCUUAAAGGGCAUCUAGGCGGUAAGACAAGUUGAAGGUGAAAACCUGUGGCUCAACCAUAGGCUUGCCUACAAAACUGUUGAACUAGAGUACUGGAAAGGUGGGUGGAACUACACGAGUAGAGGUGAAAUUCGUAGAUAUGUAUAGGAAUGCCGAUGAUGAAGAUAACGCACUGGACAGAAACUGACGCUGAAGUGCGAAAGCUAGGGGAGCAAACAGG